AUGGGAUUAGAUACCCCAGUAGUCCACACCGUAAACGAUGGGUAUUAGAUAUUAGGGCUUUAGCUUUAGUGUUGUAGCUUACGCGUUAAAUACCCCGCCUGGGUAGUACAUAUGCAAAUAUGAAACUCAAAGGAAUUGACGGGGACCUGAACAAGUGGUGGAGCAUGUUGCUUAAUUCGAUAAUACACGAAAAACCUUACCAAGGUUUGACAUCCCUCGCAAAGCUAUAGAAAUAUAGUAGAGGUUAUCGA
rnacentral:rRNA from 1 species